UACCCUGAACGGUGGAUCACUCGGCUCGUGGGUCGAUGAAGGACGCAGCGAAAUGCGCGUCUACAUGUGAACUGCAGGACACAUGAACAUCGACUUUCCUAACGCCCAUGGCGGCCCUUGGGGUCCAUCCUCGAGGGCCACACCUGUCUGAGAGUCGUA
rnacentral:rRNA from 1 species